GACGAACGCUGGCGGCGUGCCUAAUACAUGCAAGUAGAACGCACAGUUUAUACCGUAGCUUGCUACACCAUAAACUGUGAGUUGCGAACGGGUGAGUAACGCGUAGGUAACCUGCCUGGUAGCGGGUGAUAACUAUUGGAAACGAUAGCUAAUACCGCAUAAUAUUAAUUAUUGCAUGAUAAUUGAUUGAAAGAUGCAAUUGCAUCACUACCAGAUGGACCUGCGUUGUAUUAGCUAGUAGGUGAGGUAACGGCUCACCUAGGCGACGAUACAUAGCCGACCUGAGAGGGUGAUCGGCCACACUGGGACUGAGACAAGGCCCAGACUCCUACGGGAGGCAGCAGUAGGGAAUCUUCGGCAAUGGACGAAAGUCUGACCGAGCAACGCCGCGUGAGUGAAGAAGGUUUUCGGAUCGUAAAGCUCUGUUGUAAGAGAAGAACGGGUGUGAGAGUGGAAAGUUCACACUGUGACGGUAUCUUACCAGAAAGGGACGGCUAACUACGUG
rnacentral:rRNA from 1 species